rnacentral:rRNA from 1 species
GAUGAACGCUGACAGAAUGCUUAACACAUGCAAGUCUACUUGAAGCUAACUUCGGUUAGUGGAGGGUGGCGGACGGGUGAGUAACGCGUAAAGAACUUGCCUCACAGAUUGGGACAACAUCUGGAAACGGAUGCUAAUACCGGAUAUUAUGAUUCUUCUGCAUGGAAGGAACAUGAAAGCUAUAUGCGCUGUGAGAGAGCUUUGCGUCCCAUUAGCUAGUUGGAGAGGUAACGGCUCACCAAGGCGAUGAUGGGUAGCCGGCCUGAGAGGGUGAACGGCCACAAGGGGACUGAGACACGGCCCUUACUCCUACGGGAGGCAGCAGUGGGGAAUAUUGGACAAUGGACCAAAAGUCUGAUCCAGCAAUUCUGUGUGCACGAUGAAGUUUUUCGGAAUGUAAAGUGCUUUCAGUUGGGAAGAAGCAAGUGACGGUACCAACAGAAGAAGCGACGGCUAAAUACGUGCCAGCAGCCGCGGUAAUACGUAUGUCGCAAGCGUUAUCCGGAUUUAUUGGGCGUAAAGCGCGUCUAGGCGGCUACAUAAGUCUGAUGUGAAAAUGCGGGGCUCAACUCCGUAUUGCGUUGGAAACUGUGUGGCUAGAGUACUGGAGAGGUAAGCGGAACUACAAGUGUAGAGGUGAAAUUCGUAGAUAUUUGUAGGAAUGCCGAUGGGGAAGCCAGCUUACUGGACAGAUACUGACGCUAAAGCGCGAAAGCAUGGGUAGCAAACAGG